GCGGCGCGCUUAACGCAUGCAAGUCGAGCGAUGAGGCUCCCUUCGGGGAGUACAUCAGCGGCAGACGGGUGAGUAACACGUAGAUAACCUGCCCUCAAGACGGGGACAACCGGUGGAAACAGCGGCUAAUACCCGAUAUGCUCACAGGAUCGGGAGGUCGAGUGAGGAAAGGCUUCGGUGCUUGAGGAGGGAUCUGCGGCCCAUCAGCUAGUUGGUGAGGUAACGGCUCACCAAGGCGAAGACGGGUAGGGGGUGUGAGAGCAUGGCCCCCCACAAUGGGACUGAGACACGGCCCAUACUCCUACGGGAGGCAGCAGCGGGGAAUAUUGCGCAAUGGACGGAAGUCAGACGCAGCGACGCCGCGUGGGUGAGGAAGGCCUUCGGGUUGUAAAGCCCUUUUCAGGGGAGCGAGAAAGGACGGUACCCUUGGAAUAAGCGUCGGCUAACUACGUGCCAGCAGCCGCGGUAAGACGUAGGACGCAAGCGUUAUCCGGAUUUACUGGGCGUAAAGCGCCUGUAGGCGGUCAAGUAAGUCGGAUGUGAAAGCCCCGUGCUCAACGCGGGGAAGCCAUUCGAUACUGCGUGACUAGAGAACGGCAGAGGGAAACGGAAUUUCUGGUGUAGCGGUAAAAUGCGCAGAGAUCAGAAAGAACACCGAUGGCGAAGGCAGUUUCCUAGGCCGCAUCUGACGCUGAGAGGCGAAAGCUAGGGGAGCAAACAGGAUUAGAGACCCUGGUAGUCCUAGCUGUAAACGAUGGAUGCUAGGUGUGG
rnacentral:rRNA from 1 species